GACGAACGCUGGUUGCGUGCUUAACACAUGCAAGUCGAACGGAAAGGCCCUGCUUUUGUGGGGUGCUCGAGUGGCGAACGGGUGGGUAACACGUGAGUAACCUGCCCUUGACUUUGGGAUAACUUCAGGAAACUGGGGCUAAUACCGGAUAGGAGCUCCUGCUGCAUGGUGGGGGUUGGAAAGUUUCGGCGGUUGGGGAUGGACUCGCGGCUUAUCAGCUUGUUGGUGGGGUAGUGGCUUACCAAGGCUUUGACGGGUAGCCGGCCUGAGAGGGUGACCGGCCACAUUGGGACUGAGAUACGGCCCAGACUCCUACGGGAGGCAGCAGUGGGGAAUAUUGCACAAUGGGCGGAAGCCUGAUGCAGCAACGCCGCGUGCGGGAUGACGGCCUUCGGGUUGUAACCCGCUUUCGCCUGUGACGAAGCGUGAGUGACGGUAAUGGGUAAAGAAGCACCGGCUAACUACGUGCCAGCAGCCGCGGUGAUACGUAGGGUGCGAGCGUUGUCCGGAUUUAUUGGGCGUAAAGGGCUCGUAGGUGGUUGAUCGCGUCGGAAGUGUAAUCUUGGGGCUUAACCCUGAGCGUGCUUUCGAUACGGGUUGACUUGAGGAAGGUAGGGGAGAAUGGAAUUCCUGGUGGAGCGGUGGAAUGCGCAGAUAUCAGGAGGAACACCAGUGGCGAAGGCGGUUCUCUGGGCCUUUCCUGACGCUGAGGAGCGAAAGCGUGGGGAGCGAACAGGCUUAGGUACCCUGGUAGUCCACGCUGUAAACGGUGGGUACUAGGUGUGGGGUCCAUUCCACGGGUUCCGUGCCGUAGCUAACGCUUUAAGUACCCCGCCUGGGGAGUACGGCCGCAAGGCUAAAACUCAAAGGAAUUGACGGGGCCCCGCACAAGCGGCGGAGCAUGCGGAUUAAUUCGAUGCAACGCGUAGAACCUUACCUGGGUUUGACAUGGAUCGGGAGUGCUCAGAGAUGGGUGUGCCUCUUUUGGGGUCGGUUCACAGGUGGUGCAUGGCUGUCGUCAGCUCGUGUCGUGAGAUGUUGGGUUAAGUCCCGCAACGAGCGCAACCCUUGUUCACUGUUGCCAGCACGUUAUGGUGGGGACUCAGUGGAGACCGCCGGGGUCAACUCGGAGGAAGGUGGGGAUGACGUCAAGUCAUCAUGCCCCUUAUGUCCAGGGCUUCACGCAUGCUACAAUGGCUGGUACAGAGAGUGGCGAGCCUGUGAGGGUGAGCGAAUCUCGGAAAGCCGGUCUCAGUUCGGAUUGGGGUCUGCAACUCGACCUCAUGAAGUCGGAGUCGCUAGUAAUCGCAGAUCAGCAACGCUGCGGUGAAUACGUUCCCGGG
rnacentral:rRNA from 1 species